UCUUCCCAAAAUUAAUGAGAGAGAGAGAGAGAGAGAGAGAGAGAGAGAGAGAGAGAGAGAGAGAGUGUGUGUGUGUGUGUGUGUGUGUGUGUGUGUGUGUGUGUGUGUGUGUGGCAGGAUAAGUGAUCUACCCUAUUGACCUGCUCGGGGUAUGGCUUUGGCAGAUCAAUAAGGUCGGAGCUACCCUAUUAUUUAAGGACCUUUAUUUUGGCAGGCGCAACCGUGUAUUGGUGAUUCAGAAUUCCUCGCUCCCUGGCAUUUCCGGUUCAGUUUCAGUUCCCGGUUCAGUUCAGGUACGUUGAGGCUUUGCUCAGAGUGUAAUGAGGUGAACAUCUCAAGGCUAAUUUGUUUAUUUAUAGUUUUGGAGCGGCGCUGGUGGCGCGUGCGUUCAGUGAUAGUAACAUUAGCCGCGCGUGCGUAAUCAUACAACUUCGUGUUUGGUGUUUGUUCAACCCAAUAGAGCUGUUUAACUUCCUCUAUUUCAUGUGGUGGUGUCAGUGGGCCUGAGUGUUCUAGCCACCACAUCACAGUGUCUGUAAUAUUUUAGUUUUUCUUUCUUUGCUUAUUGUUUAGUGUAUUGUGUAAUUCUGGGUUAAUUGGUGUUUUUCUUUCUCUCCAGGAACCAGUGAGUCUUGGUGGACAGGGGAAGCUAGCUGCCUUCAUUCGGUGGUGUGUGCUUCACAGCGUGCUCAGUGUGCCAGCACAACAACUUCCUUAUGGUGUAGGUAGUGUUUAAUGAUUUGGUUUUAAUUAAGGUGGGUUUGGAUGACCUCCCAGGAAGUAACUGGCCUGCCUUGUUCCCACCAAGCCUGGGCCUGGAGAAUUGCUUAGUUUUAAAACUCUUAUUGUGCUUCAUGGGAGAGCGACUUUAUAUUUAUAAGUUUUAAAGAUGCUUAAGUGUGAUAAUAAAAUGUAACUUUUAUUGAUA